GCCGGACAGGUGCUGGAUGCGUAUAGAAUCCCGCUUUAUCUACACGAAUCCGGGGGUCAACCUCGUGGUGGUGUGCAGGCCCGGAUCUUUCACCGGGGAGCCUUAAACCGCGAUACCCGACUCCCACCUUGGCGUGUCCAAGGGGUUCACUACGGUCCCACGGUCCAAGUGGUACGGAC
rnacentral:sRNA from 1 species